UACGGAGGGUGCAAGCGUUAUCCGGAUUCACUGGGUUUAAAGGGUGCGUAGGAGGGCAGGUAAGUCAGUGGUGAAAUCUCCGAGCUUAACUUGGAAACUGCCGUUGAUACUAUCUGCCUUGAAUAUUGUGGAGGUGAGCGGAAUAUGUCAUGUAGCGGUGAAAUGCUUAGAUAUGACAUAGAACACCAAUUGCGAAGGCAGCUCGCUACACAUAUAUUUGACUCUGAGGCACGAAAGCGUGGGGAUCAAAACAGGA
rnacentral:rRNA from 1 species